UGUCCUGUUUCUGCCCUCUCCCCCUGCCCCUUAACUAGUCACUAAGUAGGGAACUUUUUAGACAAACUUCAUAAUAGCAGUAAGGCUCUGUGGAUUUUGACUAUUAGAAACUAGGUAAUAAAGAAAUCUAAAUGGGCAUGCUUAUCAACUGAGUUCAUACUGUAGUCCAUACUGCUUUUGUUUGCUGUGCUGGCUAGGCAGACUGUAGGUGUGCGGACUUCUGUUCAGGUAUGGAUAAAAAGAUAAGUAGGGGUCCAACACAGAAAUGGAGGUGAUGUAGGCCAAACAAAGAAGGAGGUAAGAACAGAGGGAGAUCAGUUCCCCAAAGGCAGCCCUGAUCAUAUCCAAUGGACAGCUGGCACACUUUCUCACUUGAUGAAGGUUACUGGUCCUGCAAUUUCCUUUUUCCUGUGCUCUCCUGCCUGUGUGGAUAUCAUGAGAAAGAAUGUGUUGAGCAGAGACAGAUAGGUUCAGUCACUAAGCACUCUUUUCUCUUAAAGCAGUACUAGGUACGUAAGCUCUUAAAUAUGCCUUAAAUUAAACCUUGCUUUUAUGUAGCCUUGUCUUUGGCAGAAGGUGGUGGAGAAGCAGAAAAAAGAAGAGGUUGUGUUGAUUCAAGGUAAAGCCCUACUGAGCACUUAUAUUUUGGAGCAAGUUUAGGCAAAGUUAGCACCAGCAGUCCAAUUAAAGAGGAUCAAACUGUCCCCCUUUCCCACCUCCUGUCAAAAUAGUGCAGACUUAAGUUUUUUUUAAUUGUGAUUAAAAAAAAAAAAAUCUCCACUCAAUAUCCACUUACCCAAAAGCAUUGGCAGCCCACAUUCCAGAGGGACACUCUUUAAAUCCUGGGCAAUUUAGUGAGAUUCUUUGAUUAAAAAAGACAACAUGGUCCCCAAUGGAAAGUUGAGUCAAACUGAGAUGCGCUUUCAGCAAGACUUUGAAAGAGCCAACAAAACUAGGCCACUUGUAAAAAUAGUUCUAAGUGCCUCAUUUUAACAUGUAUUUUGAAGUAUAGCUCAAGGCAGAGGAGGAAGCAUCUGCAGCAUUUCCCCCAGAAAGUGAAAGUUUGGGAUCAAUGCCCAGAUGCUGUGCUUUUUAUUUCUGUGCUCCCCAUCAUGGGAUGUCCCCUAUCUCUUUUUGAAGCAUCUUGGUACAGGACACUGUCAGAAAUCGGAGAGAUCACUGAUUUGGCCUAGAGUUGGAAUUAUCUUUCUAACUUGCAGUGAUGACCGAGACCCCCUGUAGAUGAGUAAUUGAAAGAAAGGCUGGUAAUAAAGUGUGUAGCUUUUUAACAGCUGUGAUUACAGUUAAUGAAAUAUCAAUAGGCGCAAGUGGAUAGAUAAGGAAAAGUGCAAUAGCCUGCUUUCAAUUAACAGUGGCCUCCCUAGUAAAACAGGGCUGUAUUAGAGCACUCUGCUGGGGCAGUUUAUUUCAUUUGUCUUCUAUUUAAAGAAGCCUCCACAGAUGCCUGUCAUGUACUCUGGAAAACUUCCCCGUGACUGAUCACCUUACUAUUCUGUAUUUGCUGAGAUUUAAGAGACAAUAACAUCUAAUGCAGAUAAAAUUACACGCUGAUAAUGAAGAACAGGUUAGUAAAGUCUUAGUUAAUUACUAUUUUCAGUUCAGUUCACUGUCAAUUAAUUAUAUUACCAUGCAGUAAGCUAGCAUAUGCCCGCUCCCAAUUGGUUCAAUACUUCAGCAGCCUUAUUCCUACAGAAAUCCACAGCAAAAUUCCAGUUGCUCCAGUAAGCUUUCUUAUGGACCUUAAAACUCAAAAAAACAAAGACAGUCAUUUAUUCUUGGUGGUGUUUUGCUGCUUACCUAAUAUGUACUAGUACAGGAUAACAGGAAUUGAGACAUCCCAUAGGCAACUGAUGCAAGAAACAAAAUGCCCACAGCAAAGCAUGUUUAAAAAAAAAAAAAAAGAUGAGCACUGUUCCAAUAUAUGCUGGUUUUAAAUGGUUAGCUCAAUCCUAGAACUCAUCACACUUACAUACACCAACACUGCAUAAAGAUGCUGCUUGAGAUCUUACUGAGAAGAACAAAUCUUAUCAGAACUUUAUGUAUUUUUUUGGUCACCCCCUCCUGUGUUUAAAUGUCAAAAGAUUUCAAACAUCAAUUGGGCUCUAUUUAUAAAAUCUCUUACAAACAUCUAUGUGCAUAGAGUUAUCCCUCCCCUUCACAGCUAUUCUUCCAUAACUUACUGAUCACUUUCACAAGCAUUUAAAGACAGUGGAAGUGUUUCUUCAGAACACAUGCAUGUCAGGGAAUAAUACCAUAGCACUGCCGUAACACUGUUUGCUGAAAAGCCAAGGCUCUUCAUCAUGCACACAGUGUCUUCAGUUAUGAUCCAGAGGUGCUUGGAGUCCAUGUGACCCUGGGAGAGUCACAGUUUGCUUUUUGAAGCAGUCUCCUCCAGUAACUGGUGUAUGACCGAAAGCAUCUAUUUCAGCUCUUUUAUUAGACUCACAAAGUUUAUUCACUGUGUUGCUGCCCUCUGUCUCACUAUUAAUACCAGCGAGACGCAUCAGCAAAGCAUGCCUCAUUAACCUGGAAGUAGUGAUUUAGGGAACAUUAAUUUUCUUUGACCACGCUGUGCUCAAGCAUACAACACGCUUACUGGCUUGAGUGGUUGGUCCAGGGUUUGGGCCACACAGACCUAUUCUGUAACAAGGAAAUGGAAGGGACAGAAUUCCUGUCUGCAUUCUGGGUGAAUGCAGACUGAAUUCUGGGUGGUUUCUUGCUACGGGCUCACUCACCUUCCUUGUGCAGGAGUUGUGGCCUUUGAAUUUUUCCUCAAAAAUCAUUUCAGAGCAGAGCUGCACUCUUAGCACAAUGAUGUGACUUCCAAGCGCUGAGUCUCGUCCAUAACUAUGUAAUGUAUGUAUAAUAGAAACAAUUCUGCACAACUAAAGCAAGCAGAAUUUGCUCUUUAGAAGUGUUACAGCAUAACGCUUUGGUGCAAGCAAAACAAUUUUUAGUAAAUAACUAAAAAGAAAAUCUUUUGAAUCCUUUCAGGCACACGAAGUUUCAUUAAAUAAGUUCCCCUGGCCGCAGUGUGGAGAUUCAGUUCUCUGUUGGAUGAUUACACAACAGCCAGCAGUCCACACUUCUAAGAUGGGACUCAUUUUUCCUCUUUAUUUUCUUACAAAGUAUUGCUUAUCUGUAUUUUAAAAACAACAAAAAAAGCCACUCCUAAAUAUCCCUUUGCACUUUUCCUAUUCCAGGCUAGAUUCAAAACGUUUCUCUUUAGCUUCUGGUUUUGCAGUGAAGACAAUUCAAACUGAUCUCAGCAUGUCACCAAAGUGUAUCAUGCUGUUGUGAUACGUGUUUAAUCAUGGAAUCAUUUAGGCUGGAAAAGACCUCUGAGAUCGUGUAGUCCACCAGCAUUGCCCACUAACCCACGUUCCUUGGUGCCAUUAGGCAUGCAAGUAAUCCGAUUAAAGUCAGUAUCUGCAAAGUCAAGCACGUGAGCCAAAGAAAGGGUUUAGUAUUGUUUCUGUACUCGGGUUCUCAAGUGCUUUCUUUCACAGCCUUUUCUCUAACGUGUUGUAUCAUCUGCAUCCCAUUUCAAAAAGCACUAAGACACCCCUCAGCUCGCUCUAUGGGUAUUCUCAAGAGCACGGCAGCCAGACUCAGUGCGGAUCAGCUGUUAGCAUUAUGCCUCCCUCUCUCUGCAACCAUUUUUCAAUAGCGCAAUGAAAAGCACUAACUUGAAUUACAUUUGAAUUACGCUAACCUAUUGACUUCCAGUUCAACGUGGCCAUUCUGUGCAACACAAAGAUACAAGAAAUCACCUGGCGUAGAAACUUGAAUACUGCACUACAGCAAAACUCUAGCGACUUUGGAGCUUUAUGCAAAUGAAAAGGAGAUAUGAGCUUGCUCUGCGACUGCUUCAUUUCUGAAUGCAUUGCCACAGGAGAGCGUUUAUUCCUAAUAUUUCAAAAAAGUGUUGGUUUUUUUUUUUUUAAUCAUCCCAAUUAUGAUCAACAUUUGUAAUCGCUGUCAUUCCUGCAGUGAGUUUUACAUACAGAAUGUAAAAGUAUUUUUUAUUUAAAUAUCCUGCAAAAUAAUCAUUAUAUUUCAUGCUUCAAAUGACACAAUAAUGACUGGUGAGAUUACAAAGUACCCUAAUCAUGCCAUUACUUUUAUACAAUUUUUUUCAAAUGGGAAACGGGAGCAAUGCAUGUGAUUAUUAUUAUUAUUUUCCUAAUGUCAGAGCUGAAUAAUGCACUUAAUGGAUUAAUAACCUGCUACAAAAAAAAAACCCACCUUUGCAGUAACUCCGCGGAAUGCAACGCUGCAUUAUUAAGGCGUGCUAAUUAGACUAACCAUCACUUAAAACAAUCCAGCCAAACAAAAAAUACGCAGCUUGACGCAAAGACCAACCGACUUUUAAUUAAACUUUAAUUCAAACUAAUGGAUCUACAUGAAAAAGCCACGAUGAACACACAGACUAUGCUCGCCAGGCAACUGACAAGAGUGUAUUUUCAGAAGGGAUUGAAGGAGUAUAUCUGUAUUGGGAAAAUAUGUAUUUAAAUAAAAAAAUAUAGUAAGAGAGGUAAGACUCAAUAUAUUUCAGAUUUGACAGAGGGAGGGUGCAAUAACACUAAAAAACCCAAUACCUUCAUUCAUGUGACUUCAUUCUGAUUGCAGCUCAAUUAGCCUACACCACCUGAACAAUUUUUUUUUUUUACAACGAAUAAAAUCUAAAUGCAUUUUUUCCAUGUAGAGCUUAUUAGUUCCCUAAUUAUUUCCUCUUUCUCCAGGAGGAAUAAAUAGGCAUCUCUGCGGUUCCCUGUACUGGGCUGCAUAUUGCAAACGUGAUCGUCGGUCUGCUCGAGGCAAUGAUCAGUGAGUGUCCUCACCUAUGGACACACAGUAAAAUCUCACAUCGUUUUGACAGCACUUUGUCUAUGUUUAGCACUCUAAUAAAAGCAUCUGGAAGAAGGAAAAGCACAAUGACCAUCCCAUAUUGCAGGGUACUGUAGCAUAAGUUAACAGCAUUUCUCAACUUUGCAAGCAAGAAGACAGGAAUAGUCGUAUUCAGAAAUAUCAGAAACAAAGCCCCCACAUCAAAACAGCAACUUAGGAAGAACCCAAAGAGAUUUUUUAUAAGUUGCGAUACAGUUUGAAAAUAUUAACAAAAAUUUAAUUGUUACCUUCAAAUUUCCUCUGUGAGCUUUGUUUUUCACAUCCCCUCCUGAGGGGCAGACAAUGCUGAAUUUAUGGCAGAUUAGCAGAAUUUUUCAGGUAUCUAUCACAGGUUCCACUCACAUUAAAUCUCCCGUGGCUUUUCUAUAAGCCUUUCUAAUACAUAGAUAUAUCAAUAUUAAUAUAUAUAAAUUAUAUAUAUAUACACACAUAUAUAAAGCAUUUCUUUUCUUACCUGUACAUUCAGUUUUACUUACAGUGCCUUGAAAGAGAGGAUGUAACGAUACAGUUCUGCCAAACUAUCCUGCAUCAAUCGCAGUUGCUCUGCUGGCAGUAGCAGCACCACAAAAAGUUACACCGACUUUCACAAUUGCACAUUAAUUUUUAGAACUGUCACAAAGUAAUAAAAAAGUUGCCACAUUUCUAAAGUAUAGGAAAAAAAUAAAAAUUCUUAUUUUUAAAAGAAAAAAAAUUCAAAAAAAAAUUUUUUUCCAUACCUCCUCUUUUUUUUUCUUUUCCCCUGAAAGCUGAUCUUAACAUGAUAUAAAUAAAAUUAUUU
ensembl:lncRNA